UCCCCUUCCCUAUCGGGGGUCUUGGACCGCGGGUUGAGUUUGUGGCAUAAUCCCCUUCCCACCGGAAAGAUCCCUGACCAUGGGUGUACGCAGCUCUGGGCGACCCGUUGGCGAGAUGUUUGUGGACUGAAGGCUGAGGUGUAAGUGAGAGGUCCUUCACCUUGAGCCGGACAGAGCGCGGACUAUCCGCAGUUGAUUGACUCGAGACCGAGUCGAGUGGCAUAGAUGGCUAAGGUAAAAUAACCUUAGAAAAGAAUCGCCAGUGAGCACAAUAAGACAAAGAGUAAAGAAUAAAGAAUAGCUAAUAAAGAAAAAAACGGCUACAAGUAAAGAAUGGUUAAUGAUAUAAAGUAGAAUCAAGUAAUCUACUUGCAUGAUUUACAGGUAUUGCAUAUUGCAUAGCAUUGUUAUAGUUGCGAGGCAAGGUAUGGUUUUAUUAAUUGCAUAAUCAAAUAUCUAUCUAUCUGUUUAUUAAACUAACCUGCAGUUGCCUCCUUUGAACCUGAUGGCCGAGCUUUUCCCUUGGAUGGCCGUACUCACUGGGAAUCAUGGAGUUGGUUCGCACUCCAUGUUGUUUUGGAGUGUUACAGGUUCGUACGUGAGCGGCGCGGCGGCGCGAGGAAAGGGCGUAGCUCCGUAGAUAGCGCCCUACCCCAGAGACCAGAGCUAGCAGUACCCCGUCUACAAAGCUUAGGGGUAAAGGAAAUGAAAAGAAAGUAAAUAUAUCAAAUUGUAAUAAGUAAACGAUGUACUACUUAGAUUGUAUUUGGAAGUUAAAGCAAUUGAGAAUUGAGAUGUAAAACGCAUGAAUGUGAAUGAAUGUAAUAACUUAGGAUGUGUUUAUGUUGCUUGAUACCUUCUAUUAUGCAA
rnacentral:lncRNA from 1 species